rnacentral:rRNA from 1 species
GUGAGGAAUAUUGGACAAUGGGCGAAAGCCUGAUCCAGCCAUGCCGCGUGCAGGAAGACGCAUCUAUGGUGUGUAAACUGCUUUUGUACGGGAAGAAACACUCCCUCGUGAGGGAGCUUGACGGUACCGUAAGAAUAAGGAUCGGCUAACUCCGUGCCAGCAGCCGCGGUAAUACGGAGGAUCCAAGCGUUAUCCGGAAUCAUUGGGUUUAAAGGGUCCGUAGGUGGUUUAAUAAGUCAGUGGUGAAAGCCCAUCGCUCAACGAUGGAACGGCCAUUGAUACUGUUAGACUUGAAUUACAAGGAAGUAACUAGAAUAUGUAGUGUAGCGGUGAAAUGCUUAGAUAUUACAUGGAAUACCAAUUGCGAAGGCAGGUUACUACUUGUGGAUUGACGCUGAUGGACGAAAGCGUGGGGAGCGAACAGGAUUAGAAACCCGGGUAGUCC